rnacentral:lncRNA from 10 species
UGACAUUCUCCAUGGCUGUAUCUGUCAUAGAUCAUGUGGGUUACAUCUGUCAUCUCGAAUCCCUUCAGACUGCGAGAGCUCCAGAAAUGUGAUCUGUUGGCAAAGCCGUUUGAUGCUCGAUGGCAGCUUCCUUUGGAUGUGUCCUGAAGCUGCGGAGGCCAGGGAGGAUCCCGCUCGUCUCCAGAUGGUUUGGGGCUUGUUACAGAUUGGAGGAAGCCCUGGGGUGAGGGGGAAGGUUGAGUAAUUACUAGUGUCUGGAAUUACACGAACGCCCUGGGGACAGGCUGGAACAGGCAGCUUUGCCUCUCCUAGAUGCCCCACUGCAGAGCCCCGCAUCAACCCUUGGAUCCAAGUCUGCCAGGCGAGUUUGGCUUUAUACGGAUAAAAGCAACAUGCAAGUGGAAUAUUUUUGCUUUGCAGGUUGUAUCUGUUUGCUCGGGAUGCCAUAACAAAGGACCACAGACUGGGGGGUUUAAACAGCAGAAGUUUACUUUCUCACAGUACUGGAGGCUGGAAGUCUGAGGUCAAGGUGCUGGCGGUGUCGGUUUCUCCUGAGCCCUCUCUCUUUUGCCGUCCUCUUUCAUUCAGUCCCAAUUGUGGGAAAUGAAGUUUUACAGCCAUGGAAGGGAAGAUGAAGGGAAGAAGCGGAGAAGACAGAUUUCUAUAGAUCACAAGGCAUUUUGGAUGCCAUAAAUAUGGUGGAUACCCUGUAGUUCUGCAGUGUCUUUCUUUAGGGAAUCUCAAGUGCCUACUCUCUAAUUUAGUCCGCUGUGUGGCUGUGGUCUUUAAGUUGGAGUCUGUGGAGACAAAGAGGGAGGUCUUGCUGUGCCUGACCCUCUGGGAUGUGUUACCACCCACGCCGACCUGCUCUCUGCGGCUUUCUGACAGCACCUCACAGCCCUGGAACUGGAAAUGUGGCUCUCACUGAAGCUGCCCAGAGAGAGGGUCUCUCAGUGAAGACCCCCUGUUGUCAGCUGGGGCAGCCGGAAAGAAAGACUGGGAAUUCUCUUCACACAGGAUUUGAUAUGCUUGGUGGCUCCAGAAAAAUGCAAGUGUGCACAUUCAUCCACUUGACAAAGGGUGACUUAACUGUCAGUGUCCUGUGGAUUCAAACUGAAAGGGUUUGGGCGAAAGAAAGAAGAAGGUGGGACUGCGAAUAAAUUGAAAACAGCAUUUUGGAGGCAACAGCUGUGAAACAGAAGGGAAGGAAAAUUUAUGACCAUAUACAUUUCAGUAGGAAUUUAUAACUUUUUAUGAACAUUAUCUUAAAGUUAGUCUCUAGACAUAGGUCUAAAAAUAAAAUUAUGCUGAACUGUGUACCCAGAGAAUGGUAAAUGGGAAUAACGUUCUUGAAAGGGAUGACGUAGGUCCAGGGAAAGGUCACAUUGAAUAAUCAAGGUCGGUGAAGGUCAAAAUCACAAAGAAGGACCCUGCAUUCACUCCUGUCCUGAUGGCAGCUUCAGUGGAAACCCUUGGCCAUCGCUUUGCCUCUCCAAGCAUUCGAGAAAGACCGUCUGGUGCCAUAUUGUCUUCUGGGGACAGCUGAUCACCUGGGGAGAGCUGCAUCGUGCUCCUACCCGUGUCAGAUCUGGGCAGAGGACAGACAAAAGUCCUCUGGAGUUUUCCGCAGUGAGAGUCACAGAAGUUCAUCUAAGGAAUUGGAGCCAAGGUUAGAAACUUCUCUGGAGAUGUUCUAGUUUUGUUUGCUAGCUCGGCAGCUGCGUAAUGACACUCCCUCCAGCAGGGCACAUAGUUCACUUCAAAUGACAAAUGGUGGGACCUUAGUAUUUUUCACUGUCGGUUAAUUAUCAGAAAUAGAUUUGUUGCUAUCUAGAUACCAGCCAUUUGUCCAAAUUACUAGGAUAAGAUUCCCAAGAAAGCCUGAAAUCAGAUAGCUUUCUCCUCCUUAUUUUAAAAUAAACAGAAAUAAAAUUAUUCUGCUACAGGUGGGUUUCUCUUCUCCCAGCAUAUGUGACUUGACAAAUUGUGUGAAAAUGGUUUUCAGAAAUUCAAUUUCUGUUGCAAGUGCACCAAAUGUUUAAAGAAACUGCAGCGUCAGACGCUGUAUGGGGUAGGGUUGCUGAAAUUCAGUGCUCUGGCCGGGGUGAAUGGGACCUGGUGGGUGUGAGUGUAGUAGGGUUGGGGGUAGCUGGCUGCCCAAAGGGAUGUGAUGAACUUGAGCUUGACUGAGUCUAGUUUCAGUUCCAAGGGAUUCAACCUGGUGUUUGGAAAACGCUCAUUUCCUAGAUCCUGAGCGUCCUGUCCUUUUGGAGCAGGACUGCAGCUGGCUGCUUAGGGAUGGAAGGAGGCUCCCUGCAGGGGAAAGUGUGGCGAUACGCAGGUAGGACUCAACAUCGCAGCCAGGCAGACUGAAAGGCAGAACCAGCCUCAGAUGCCACGAUUAAGUCCACGGGGCCAGAGUAGGGUGGUGCAGACUGCUUCACACUCACACUCUGGAGACAGACCCCGGGGAAAAGAGUACUGGACUUUAGGAUAAUGGGCCCCUGUAAUUUGAGCUGGCUUCACCUUUCUUAUUAAUCCAGUAUAUCUCACAAUUAAGCAUCUCCUAAUUUGUUUGUUUGUUUGUUUCUUUUUUUUUUUUUUUUUUUUUAAGAUGGAGUUUUGCUCCGUUGCCCAGGCUGGGAUGCAGUGGUGCAAUCUCGGCUCACUGCAACCUCUCGCUCCCAGGUUCAAGUGAUUCUCCUGCCUUAGCCUCCCGAAUAGCUGGGAUUACAGGUGUGUGCCACCAUGCCUAGAUAAUUUUUUUUUUUGAUGUUUUCUUCGUAGAGGUGGGGUUUCCCCACAUUGGCCAGGCUGGCCUCGAACUCCUGUCCUCAGGUGAUCCACCUGCCUCGGCCUCCUAAAGUGCUGAGAUUAUAGGCGUGAGCCACCACGACCGGCCCAAUUUGUUUCUUUUGUGAGUCAUUUUACAAGGCUUUGUUAACGGGCACCCCGAUUGCCUACGGGACACAUUCUCUGAGAUGACUAAUAACACCUCACAUUUCAGAAAGCCAACAGAACUUGAGUUUCCCACUGCAAUCAGUGAUACCAUACUCAAAACGCAGUAUGAAUCUUAGAUUCUUCUCCUUGUUUCACACCUUCUAUUCGAUCCAUUAGCAGGUCCUGCUGCCUUUACCUACAAGAUAUAUCCUAAAUCUGGCUGCUUCAGCCACUUCUGCUACAGCUUCAUUUCAAGCCACUGCCAUCUCUCCCUGCAACUGCUGGACUAGCCCUCUAACUAGUGUCAUUUCAUCUACUUCUGUUUUACUUAAAACCGAAAUAUGUUUUUGUCACUCCCUUGUUCAAAAUCCUCCUAUGGCUUUCUACAAACAUUUGCACAAAAUCCAAAAUCUUCACCAGGAGGUCCAAUGUGACCAGGCUCCUGGCUAUCCCGUGGCUUCAUAU